AACGAACGCUGGCGGCAGGCCUCAAACAUGCAAGUCUAGGGGAUGUAGCAAUACAUCACCGGCGGACGGGUGCGUAACACGUGGGAAUAUACCUUUCGGUACGGAACAACUGCGGGAAACUGCAGCUAAUACCGUAUACGUCCUUACGGAGAAAGAUUUAUCGCCGAAGGAUUAGCCCGCGUUCGAUUAGCUAGUUGGUGAGGUAACGGCUCACCAAGGCGACGAUCGAUAGCUGUUCUGAGAGGAAGAUCAGCCACACUGGGACUGAGACACGGCC
rnacentral:rRNA from 1 species